CACAUUAGAAUCAUUAGGCCUAGGAACUAGAUUCCAAACAUUAUUUCGAACGAAUUGAUUAAGCUCCUCAUGCAUGUCAUUCACCCAGCAUUCAUCUCUAAGGGCUUCCUCUACUUUUUCAGGUUCAAUCUAGGAUACAUAGCUAGUAUAUGUUAGGUUAUUUAGAACUCUCCUUCGUAACCUCACUCCUUCAUCCAAAGCCCUAAUGAUGUUAACCUUAGGAUGAUUAGAUUUGACCCUUGAAGAUGGUUCUCUAGAAAGCUUAGACUGAUCCCAAUUUGGUAGACCUUGCUCAGAUAUGUUUUCUGAGGAUUGUGGAGAUUUUAGGAUUGAGUGUUCUUUAUUUUCAGUAGUGGCUCCUUGAUCUUCACUUAGAUCUUCUAUGUCAACCCCAUUUUCAGCACUUUCUCCCUCAGUGAAGGCAUCAUCAAUAACAACAUUUACAGAUUCCAAGACAUUUUGAGUACGCAAGUUGCAAACUCGGUAUGCUCUAUUGUUCUUAGAAUAUCCUAGAAAAAUCCCAUCAUCACUUUUGGAAUCAAACUUGCCUAGAUGUUCUCUAUCCCUCAGGAUGUAACAUUUGCUGCCAAACACCCGAAAGUAUUUAACAGUAGGCUUCUUGCCUUUCCAAAUCUCAUAGGGAGUCUUUUCUGAUUUCGGUCUCAAGUAUACCUUAUUUAUUAUCUGGCACAAGGUGUUAAUUGCUUCACCCCAG
rnacentral:lncRNA from 1 species